rnacentral:rRNA from 1 species
AGUGAACGCUGGCGGUAGGCCUAACACAUGCAAGUCGAACGGCAGCACAGUAAGAGCUUGCUCUUACGGGUGGCGAGUGGCGGACGGGUGAGGAAUACAUCGUAAUCUACUUUUUCGUGGGGGAUAACGUAGGGAAACUUACGCUAAUACCGCAUACGACCUACGGGUGAAAGCAGGGGAUCUUCGGACCUUGCGCGAUUGAAUGAGCCGAUGUCGGAUUAGCUAGUUGGCGGGGUAAAGGCCCACCAAGGCGACGAUCCGUAGCUGGUCUGAGUGGAUGAUCGGCCACACUGGAACUGAGACACGGUCCAGACUCCUACGGGAGGCAGCAGUGUGGAAUGUUGGACAAUGGGCGCAAGCCUGAUCCAGCCAUACCGCGUGGGUGAAGAAGGCCUUCGGGUUGUAAAGCCCUUUUGUUGGGAAAGAAAAGCAGCAGGUUAAUACCCCGCUGUUCUGACGGUACCCAAAGAAUAAGCACCGGCUAACUUCGUG